rnacentral:rRNA from 1 species
ACUCAAAGGAAUAGACGGGGGCCCGCACAAGCAGCGGAGCGUGUGGUUUAAUUCGACGCAACACGCAGAACCUUACCUAGGCUUGACAUGCACCUGCAACCGAUCGAAAGGUCGGUGCCUUCGAGGGUGGUGCACUGGUGCUGCAUGGCUGUCGUCAGCUCGUGUCGUGAGAUGUUGGGUUAAGUCCCGCAACGAGCGCAACCCUUGCCCGGUGUUACAUGUGUCACCGGGGACUGCCGUGGUGUAGACCACGGAGGAAGGCGGGGAUGACGUCAAGUCCGCAUGGCCCGUACGCCUAGGGCGACACACACGCUACAAUGGGUCGCGUAAUACGCUGCAACCGGGCAACCGGAAGCUAAUCGGGAAGCCGACCCGCAGUGCAGAUGGUGGGCUGCAACUCGCCCGCCUGAAGACGGAGUUGCUAGUAACCGCGUGUCAGCAAAGCGCGGUGAAUACGUACCCGGGCCUUGUACACACCGCCCGU